ACAUCACAACCCCUGUUAUAGAAUACUUCACACAGUAGGACAAGGUCAAAAAGGUGUCGGCUGAGAAACAGGUGGAUGAGGUCUACACUGAUGUCCAAGCUAUAUUUGAUUCACUUGUUCCUGGAAAAGCAGAAUCAGCUCCUAAAGAUAAUGUUCCUGAGACUUCACCACCAGAGGUCACUACUCAAGAGACUGUACCUCUAGAUACCUCCGUUCUCAAGGACACCAAGGUCGUGUUUGUA